rnacentral:rRNA from 1 species
AUUGAACGCUGGCGGCAUGCCUUACACAUGCAAGUCGAACGGCAGCACGGGAGCAAUCCUGGUGGCGAGUGGCGAACGGGUGAGUAAUAUAUCGGAACGUGCCCAGUCGUGGGGAUAACGUAGCGAAAGCUACGCUAAUACCGCAUACGAUCUAUGGAUGAAAGCGGGGGAUCGCAAGACCUCGCGCGAUUGGAGCGGCCGAUAUCAGAUUAGGUAGUUGGUGAGGUAAAGGCUCACCAAGCCGACGAUCUGUAGCUGGUCUGAGAGGACGACCAGCCACACUGGGACUGAGACACGGCCCAGAUUCCUACGGGAGGCAGCAGUGGGAAUUUUGGACAAUGGGCGCAAGCCUGAUCCAGCAAUGCGCGUGCAGGAUGAAGGCCUUCGGGUU